rnacentral:rRNA from 1 species
GCAUAUCAAUAAGCGGAGGAAAAGAAACUAACAAGGAUUCCCCUAGUAACGGCGAGUGAAGAGGGAAGAGCCCAAGAUUGAAAGCUGGCGUCUUCGGCGUCCGCAUUGUAAUCUCAAGAAGUGUUUUCCGCUUCGGACCAAGCCUAAGUCCCCUGGAAAGGGGCAUCAUAGAGGGUGAUAAUCCCGUACAUGGCUUGGAGCGCCCGAGGCUUUGUGAUACGCUUUCUAAGAGUCGAGUUGUUUGGGAAUGCAGCUCAAAAUGGGUGGUAAAUGCCAUCUAAGGCUAAAUAUUGGGGAGAGACCGAUAGCGAACAAGUACAGUGAUGGAAAGAUGAAAAGAACUUUGAAAAGAGAGUUAAACAGUACGUGAAAUUGCCAAAAGGGAAGGGUAGGAGGUCAGAGAUGCGGCCUGGGAUUCAGCCUUGCUUUUGCUUGGUGUUUUUCCCAGAUUGCAGGCCAACGUCGGUUUUGGGCACUGGAGAAGGGUAGGAGGAACGUGGCACCCCUCGGGGUGUGUUAUAGCCUCCUACUGGAUACAGCGACCGAGACCGAGGACAGCAGCGUACUCGCAAGAGCGGGCCUUCGGGCACCUUUACGCUUAGGGCGUUGGCAUAAUGGCCCUCUACCACCCGUCUUGAAACACGGACCAAGGAGUCUAACAUGUAUGCGAGUCUUUGGGUGGCAAACCCAUAGGCGCAAUGAAAGUGAAUUCAGGUGGGAUCCGCAAGGUGCACCAUCGACCGAUCCUCACGUCUUUUAAGUCGUGGAUUUGAGUAAGAGCAUACCUGUUGGGACCCGAAAGAUGGUGAACUAUGCCUGAAUAGGGUGAAGCCAGAGGAAACUCUGGUGGAGGCUCGUAGCGGUUCUGACGUGCAAAUCGAUCGUCAAAUUUGGGUAUAGGGGCGAAAGACUAAUCGAACCAUCUAGUAGCUGGUUCCUGCCGA